UUCGGAUAAAUUGUGCAGCACAAGACUCCAGCAACACACUAUUUCAGGGGGAUAUGUGUUCCCCACCUUCUGGAUCCUUGAAAUACAAUUGAAAACUAUAAUCAUAGCUUAGACGCAAGGACAAAAGAAUUAAAACACAUGACAUGUGAAUGAGGAAAUCAAUGGGAAAAAGCUAGUCCAACCCAACCUUCUUUCAAAAACAUUACCCUUUCCUCCAUCGUAGAAUUGCAACAAGCAGAUAAUGGUUUGAUGCCUAAUGAUAUGUAUUUCAUUAAGACUUUGAUAAAAUCCCACAAAAGAGCCUUCAGGAUGUCCAGGUGAUGCAGGACAGAGCAGGCAUGGGGCUAGGAAGUGUAGGAAUCUUUAAGAAAUAGGUUAUUCUAGA
rnacentral:lncRNA from 1 species